rnacentral:rRNA from 1 species
ACGGGAGGCAGCAGUGGGGAAUAUUGGGCAAUGGACGCAAGUCUGACCCAGCAACGCCGCGUGGAGGAAGAAGGCUUUCGGGUUGUAAACUUCUUUGACAGGGGAAGAGCAGAAGACGGUACCCUGAAAACAAGCCACGGCUAACUACGUGCCAGCAGCCGCGGUAAUACGUAGGUGGCAAGCGUUGUCCGGAUUUACUGGGUGUAAAGGGCGUGUAGCCGGGUCGAUAAGUCAGAUGUGAAAUCCACGGGCUCAACUCGUGAACUGCAUUUGAAACUGUUGAUCUUGAGUAUCGGAGGGGCAAUCGGAAUUCCUAGUGUAGCGGUGAAAUGCGUAGAUAUUAGGAGGAACACCAGUGGCGAAGGCGGAUUGCUGGACGAUAACUGACGGUGAGGCGCGAAAGUGUGGGGAGCAAACAGGAUUAGAUACCCUGGUA